rnacentral:rRNA from 1 species
CGCUGGCGGCGUGCUUAACACAUGCAAGUCACGGGCAAGGGUAACCGGCGAACGGGUGCGUAAACACGUGAGCAGCUUCCGAUCUGUGGGGGAUAACCGGCCCAACGGCCGGGUAAUACCGCAUACGACGGCAUCGUGAAACCUCCGGGGCAGAUCGAGGUGCUCGCGGCCUAUCAGCUAGUUGGCGGGGUAACGGCCCACCAAGGCGACGACGGGUAGCUGGUCUGAGAGGAUGGCCAGCCACAUUGGGACUGCGACACGGCCCAGACUCCUACGGGAGGCAGCAGUGGGGAAUAUUGCGCAAUGGACGAAAGUCUGACGCAGCGACGCCGCGUGUGGGAUGAAGCCUUUCGGGGCGUAAACCACUGUUGCCCGGGACGAACCCCCUUUCGAGGGGACUGACGGUACCGGGUGAGGAAGCACCGGCUAACUCUGUGCCAGCAGCCGCGGUAAUACAGAGGGUGCGAGCGUUGUCCGGAAUCACUGGGCGUAAAGGGCGCGUAGGUGGCUGGGUAAGCGUGUGGUGAAAGUCCGGGGCUCAACCCCGGAUCUGCCGUGCGAACUGCCGAGCUUGAGCGAUGUAGAGGCAGGUGGAAUUUCGGGUGUAGCGGUGGAAUGCGUAGAGAUCCGAAAGAACACCAGUGGCGAAGGCGGCCUGCUGGGCAUCGCUGACACUGAGGCGCGACAGCGUGGGGAGCAAACAGGAUUAGAUACCCUGGUAGUCCACGCCGUAAACGAUGGGUACAAGGUGUCUGGGGGAGCGACCCCUGGGUGCCGGCGCUAACGCAUGAAGUACCCCGCCUGGGGAGUACGGCCGCAAGGCUGAAACUCAAAGGAAUUGACGGGGGCCCGCACAAGCGGUGGAGCAUGUGGUUUAAUUCGACGCAACGCGAAGAACCUUACCUAGGCUUGACAUGCUGGAAAGCUGCGGAAACGUGGCCCCUCUUCGGAGUUCCAGCACAGAUGCUGCAUGGCUGUCGUCAGCUCGUGUCGUGAGAUGUUGGGUUAAGUCCCGCAACGAGCGCAACCCUCACCCUUAGUUACCCGGUAACCGGGGACUCUAGGGGGACUGCCGGUGCCAAACCGGAGGAAGGUGGGGAUGACGUCAAGUCAUCAUGGCUCUUACGUCUAGGGCUACACACGUGCUACAAUGGACCGGACAAAGGGCUGCCAACUCGCGAGAGUGCGCCAAUCCCAACCGGUCCUCAGUUCGGAUUGUAGUCUGCAACUCGACUACAUGAAGCUGGAAUCGCUAGUAAUCGUGGAUCAGAACGCCACGGUGAAUACGUUCCCGGGCCUUGUACACACCGCCCG